CUUAUGCACACCUGCAGUCUUGAAGCCUUCCAUGAAAGAUAACCUUAUGUUGUUAAAGAAGGUGACUUUUUUGUGUGUGAAGUAACUGCCUGGCUAUCAAAGGUAGGUCAGCCAUAUGGAAAACAGAACUUUGAGAAGUACAAUGCAUGCUAUGCUUCCACAGGAGUCCUAUUCAGCAGAUGGAGAAGCAAAGUUUGUCAACACACUGAGAGCCUCGAAUUACCAGCAUUACCAUAGUUGAAUAAUCUUGACACCUCUAUCCCAACUGAUAAACACAUUUCUAUGAAAAGUGUACUGUCCGUCAUGGAUGAGCACAGCUACAUCAAGAUACAAUUUAGUUUGCUGAAAUGGCAUCGGCAGAAACAGGGAAGAUCUCACAGAGACGAUUGGACUCUCCUGGCAGCUCUACAAACUGGAACACAUCUGAGAAAAUGUUCUUAGCAAAAAAAAAA